AGUGCACUCCGACCCCUCUGCACACAGGAAUUCGUCCCGUCACCUCUGUGUACCAUCCAUAACCCUAAAAGACGGGCCUGUCAUCUUAUCUGGCAAGUGGGGUUUUAGCAGCCCCUUCAUUAAGCCCGGAGAACAAAGGCGGCUGGAUAAGCAAACUAAGGCUUGGAGAGCUGAGAGCUGAGAUCACAGGCCCAGGCUGUAAGAGGGAAGGUGGGACCAGAAAGAAUCCACAUUGCUCUCACCACCUCAAGAACUCUGAGGGCUGUGCUCACCGCUGUUCUGAAGCAUCACUUCCGCUCUGAAGAUCAGGGCAGCCCGAUUUCCCACGCGAGAGCGGAUAGGGCUGCCCCUGGGAUCUGAGCCAUGUCUGUGACCUACCCCACAGCUCACAACCAUGCUGGAUCCUUAACCAACUGAACAAGGCGAGGGAUCGAACCCUCACCCUCCUGGAUGGGUUGGGUUCAUUACCGCCGAGCCACGACAGGAAUUCCUCUUUAGUUCUUGUUUUAUUCAUUCAUUCAUUCAUUCAUUCAUUCAUUCAUUUACUUAUUUAUUAUGGCCCCAGAGUGGCUUAUGGAAGUUCCUCAGCCAGGGGCCUGAAUCCACAGCCACGCCAGAUCCUUUAACCCACUGCUUCGGGAUGGGAAUUGAACCCACGCCUCUGCAGUGACUGGAGCUGCUGCAGUCGGAUUCUUAACCCACUGUGUCACAGCAGGAACUCCUUGUUUCCUUGAUUUAAGUCCUCUUGUCUCCCCUCAUGACCGGCAGAGCUCUUCCUCCUGCUGCCCUGACCUGCUUCGGGGUCAGACGCUAUGACACCUCCUCCAGGAAGCCCUUCCUGGUUUCCACUGCCUGCGGAGACCCCAGUCUUCAGAGAGUCCCAGAGCCUGCCUCUCAGAGCCUCUCAUCUGGCUUUCAGGGUGCAAAGCCCCUCCUCCUGGAGGUGCCAUGUCCCCACAGGGCACUCCUGCCCAGUUCAGCCUCCGCCCUGGCCCCUGUGAGACUCCCCAGCACCAGCAGGAUAAAUCACCCUCUUCUCUGGGCUAGGCUGGGCCUUUGGGUUUGUUCUGUUGCCCCCUCGUUCCGCAUCUGCCUCCUGCGGGCUGGUCAUCACGCAGACGGGAUUGAAGAAGGCAUGUCCCCCCGGCCUCCCUCUCAGGGUGGAGCAGCCAUCAUUCCUGGUGCUCAGCUGCCCGGAAGUCUCCCUUUCAUCCUCAUGAUGGUUAAUUUCAUGUGUCCACUUGCCUGGGCUAAGGGAUGUCCAGACAGCUGGUCACACAUCACUUCUGGGUGUGUCUGUGUGGAAGGUUCCAGAAGAGAGGAGCACUGGAAUCGAUGGACUGAGUGAAGAAGUAGAUGGGCAUCACCCGUUCCCCGAGGACGCAAACAGAACAUAAAGAUGAGCCACGUGCUCUCUGAGCUGGGACCUCCGCCUUCUGCUUUUGGGCAUCACGCUUCUAAGCUCCGCAGAACUUUAGACCCAGACUGAAUUCUACCACCCACUUUCCUGCUUCUCCAGCUUGCAGAUGACAGACUGCGGGGGUUUGGAGCCUCAUAAUUGCAGGAACUAAUUCUUGUACUAAAUGUAUAUAAAAUGUAUGUUUAUAUAGAAAA
rnacentral:lncRNA from 1 species